UAGGGAAUCUUCGGCAAUGGACGAAAGUCUGAUGGAGCAACGCCGCGUGAGUGAAGAAGGUUUUCGGAGCGUAAAACUCUGUUGUUAGAGAAGAACAAGGACGUGAGUAACUGAACGUCCCCUGACGGUAUCUAACCAGAAAGCCACGGCUAACUACGUGCCAGCAGCCGCGGUAAUACGUAGGUGGCAAGCGUUGUCCGGAUUUAUUGGGCGUAAAGUGAGCGAAGGCGGUUUCUUACGUCUGAUGUGAAAGCCCCCGGCUCAACCGGGGAGGGUCAUUGGAAACUGGGAGACUUGAGUGCAGAAGAGGAGAGUGGAAUUCCAUGUGUAGCGGUGAAAUGCGUAGAUAGGAGGAGGACCACCAGUGGCGAAGGCGGCUCUCUGGUCUAUUACUGACGCUGAGGCUCGAAAGCGUGGGGAGCAAACAGG
rnacentral:rRNA from 1 species